AUUGAACGCUGGCGGCAUGCCUUACACAUGCAAGUCGAACGGUAGCGGGCCUUCGGGUGCCGACGAGUGGCGAACGGGUGAGUAAUGUAUCGGAACGUACCAUUGAGUGGGGGAUAACGUAGCGAAAGUUACGCUAAUACCGCAUAUUCUCUCCGGAGGAAAGCAGGGGACCGCAAGGCCUUGCGCUCUUUGAGCGGCCGAUAUCAGAUUAGCUAGUUGGUGAGGUAAAGGCUCACCAAGGCGACGAUCUGUAGCGGGUCUGAGAGGAUGAUCCGCCACACUGGAACUGAGACACGGUCCAGACUCCUACGGGAGGCAG
rnacentral:rRNA from 1 species